rnacentral:rRNA from 1 species
UAUCAGUCAUGCAUAGCAUAUCAAUAAGCGGAGGAAAAGAAACUAACAAGGAUUCCCCUUAGUAACGGCGAGUGAAGCGGGAAGAGCUCAAAUUUGAAAUCUUCAAGGUUUUACCUUGACGAAUUGUAGUUUAAAGAAGUGUUUUCUGUUGAAGUUUUGGUAAAAGUUCUUUGGAAUAGGACAUCAUAGAGGGUGAGAAUCCCGUAUUUGACCAUUACUUUCAGCUUUGUGAUACACUUUCAAAGAGUCGGAUUGUUUGGGAAUGCAGUCCAAAAUGGGUGGUAAAUUUCAUCUAAAGCUAAAUAUUGGCGAGAGACCGAUAGCGAACAAGUACCGUGAGGGAAAGAUGAAAAGAACUUUGAAAAGAGAGUUAAACAGUACGUGAAAUUGUCAAAGGGGAAGCGUUUGACACCAGUGUUGUUUUCUCGAAAAUCAAUUAAAAAGAGUUGGAUUUUGUGUUGUAUUGACUUUAUCAGCUUUCUUCACUCUUUUCCAGCUUUUUUUAAUGCACUUUUCGUUUAACAAGUCAACAUCAGUUUCUUUUGUUGUAAAAAGGUCAUUGGAAGGUGGCUUUCUCUUCGGAGAAAGUGUUUAUAGCCUUUGACUCAUGCAAUCGGAGAGACUGAGGUCUGCAGCGUAGAUCCUUCGGGGUUAGAUACAUUUGUGCUAAGUUAUAGCUUUUCAUAGACAACUUGUUGACUAUGUUUAGUCUUGUAGCUUACUCGCUUAUGCUAUUUUACCUACGCUUAGGAUGUUGAACUCUAUCACACACAG